rnacentral:rRNA from 1 species
AGUGAACGCUGGCGGUAGGCCUAACACAUGCAAGUCGAACGGCAGCACAGUAAGAGCUUGCUCUUACGGGUGGCGAGUGGCGGACGGGUGAGGAAUACAUCGGAAUCUACUUUUUCGUGGGGGAUAACGUAGGGAAACUUACGCUAAUACCGCAUACGACCUACGGGUGAAAGCAGGGGAUCUUCGGACCUUGCGCGAUUGAAUGAGCCGAUGUCGGAUUAGCUAGUUGGCGGGGUAAAGGCCCACCAAGGCGACGAUCCGUAGCUGGUCUGAGAGGAUGAUUAGCCACACUGGAACUGAGACACGGUCCAGACUCCUACGGGAGGCAGCAGUGGGGAAUAUUGGACAAUGGGCGAAAGCCUGAUCCAGCCAUACCGCGUGGGUGAAGAAGGCCUUCGGGUUGUAAAGCCCUUUUGUUGGGAAAGAAAAGCAGCAGGUUAAUACCCCGCUGUUCUGACGGUACCCAAAGAAUAAGCACCGGCUAACUUCGUG